GACGAACGCUGGCGGCGUGCUUAACACAUGCGAGUCGAACGGUAAGGCCCUUCGGGGUACACGAGUGGCGAACGGGUGAGUAACACGUGGGUGAUCUGCCCUGCACUUCGGGAUAAGCCUGGGAAACUGGGUCUAAUACCGGAUAGGACUCCUGCCUGCAUGGGUGGGGGUGGAAAGCUUUUGCGGUGUGGGAUGGGCCCGCGGCCUAUCAGCGUGUUGGUGGGGUGAUGGCAUACAAAGGCGACGACGGGUAGCCGGCCUGAGAGGGUGACCGGCCACACUGGGACAGAGAUACGGCCCAGACUCCUACGGGAGGCAGCAGUGGGGAAUAUUGCACAAUGGGCGCAAGCCUGAUGCAGCGACGCCGCGUGAGGGAUGACGGCCUUCGGGUUGUAAACCUCUUUCAGCACAGACGAAGCGCAAGUGACGGUAUGUGCAGAAGAAGGACCGGCCAACUACGUGCCAGCAGCCGCCGUAA
rnacentral:rRNA from 1 species